GCAAAUGGUUAAUGCACUUGGCUGCUAACCAAAAGGUUGGAGGUUCAAGUCCACC
rnacentral:tRNA from 1 species